ACAGUAUGUGGGAAUUAUGGGAGCUAUAAUUCAAGAUGAGAUUUGGGUGGGACACAGCCAAACCAUAUCACUAGGUAAGAAGAGGGCUCCAUGCUAAGGAACAGGAUAUGCAAAGACCCUGUGGCAGGAGGAACUCUACCUGCUUUUUUGAAGAAUUCCAUAAGGUAGCCUUCAGUGGAGCUGAGUAGAGAGUGGGGGAGAGUGGGCUAAAACAUGAGGGGAGAAGUAGGCAAAAGCUAAAUCUCAUCAGGACCUUAUAGACAAUUGACAGAUGUUUGUCUUUAUCCAGUAAGGUGUUUGUAUGCUCCUUAAGUGGCAGCGGGGAGUGAGCAGAGCAGUGAAGAUAAACAUGAAAGCUGGUGGUAACAAAUUCUGAUACCUCCUCUAUUCCAAAAGGAAAGGCAGAACUCAGAGGCACCAUCCUCCUGUUGUGUUUGCAAGCUGUUGACACAACCUGGAAAGGUUAAAAGUUUUCAACAGACUUGUCAGAGUUUGUGUUCAAUGGAAACUGACAGAGCCUACCGGCUGAGGGGCUAAUUUUAAUAGAAAUAACCUAGGUGCGUUUGUUAAUUUUCUCCGUUCCCUCAAUGACCUGUCUGCAUAGCGUGAAGGUGCUUUGAUGUGACCAGGAGAACAGAAGGAUAUUUUGUGCAUAGCUGACCGUGAGAGGAAUGCUGGUUUUGCAAUGAGGAAGCACAGGAAGAUGACAGAACAAUGAGCAUAAGACAUGCUGGGUGCAUUUUUUGGACCUUACCACAUCUUGUUUGAGAGAAGUGGGACCAAUGCUGAUGAAACUCUUUCCCAUGGUGUGUUCUAUAUUCAUUGGAUGGGCAUCGCCUACGGCUGGAGCAGGGCUGAGCUCUGUACUGGUGUCUCUUAAAACACACCAGACAGCAACAGCUGAGAUACCUACUACCUGGAUCUGCUUGAUUAGAUCAUACGGUCAUAUUUGAUUACUUAGAAUGGGCUUCUGGAGGAUCUGUUGCUGAUUGCACUGAAACCAGAAGUUGUACUUGGCCAAGGACGAGCUAACCCCAAACAGCAAGAGGUUUGAGUUGGCUCCAAAGCACAAGCCUCACAAAUAUCCCGUGAGUCUCCCACAGGCUUGGGGCUCUCUGUUUAGAAUUAGAACCUAAUCUUCAAAUAUCCCUUUACCCUCUUGCCUCAAAAAGGAAGGCAGUGAAGAGCAGCAGCAAGGCAUCCUGGAUGAGCACUGGAAGGGGAGAAUGCUCAUGUUUUAGUCGUGGGCUUUCCACCAGUUAGCUGUGCAGCUUUGGGCAGAUACUUGAACUUCUCUGGUGCUCUGUUUCUUCAUGUUUAAAUGAGAGGAUUAAACUGUAUGACUUUUGGGUCGAAAGUACGUCUCUGCCAUCAGUAUCAUAACAAUUAUUGAAAUUGCUGCCUAGAAUCUUCCGCUACCACAGUGUAUUUUGAUUGGACUGUUUAUUGCCUUAGCAAACACAAUGCAGUGCUGUGUCUUUGGCAUCUUGCCAGGAAAGAUGAGCCAAUUUUCUCGUGUUGCUUCUGGAUGUCAAAACAUUCUCAUCUGACCAUGCCACAGAAGAAGUUUGUUGAGAGUGUGACUGACUGACAUAAUGACUGAUUGGCUGAUAACGGCAGCUGACAGUGAUUGAUUGAGUGUAAAAUUAUCUGUUCUCAUUACUUCUGAAAUUGAAUUCAGAUUGGUUCUAUUGGAGGGUUUCCAUGGAGACCAUAACCUGCUAUAGCAAGUGUUUGUGGAUGCAAUGUUUUAUUGUGAUCAAUACCUGUUUCCUCUGCUGGUCCAAAGAAAUUAUUAAUGAUUAUAGUCAAGUAGAAAGAGGCAACCAUAUAUAAGAAGAAAAAAACUCUCAUAUUUUGUCUCAUUGCUACAUAAAACAAAUGUGGGCCUUCCCAGACUUGCGCUUUGGCUAACUAGUUCAUAAUACGUUCGAUAACUUGCCAUUCUUCUUUUGCUAUUAAUGCAGAGGGUUUGCUUUGGAAAAAAGAAAAGUAUUUCUAGGACUCUUUCUCUCUUUGAAGAAGAUCAGAAUAAUAGACGAAUGUUCAUACUUGGUUUUUUUUUAAAUGCGAUGUUACAGAAACAACAAACAUUUAAUCAAAUCUUAAACACACCCAUGUUAAUGCAGAGACAGAGAUGGUCCCUCAGGCUUUUUCUGGGUUGUUUCCAUGAAUGAUAAAGUCAUUAAACAAUUUCAUAGGCUUGCCUUAUUGAUCUCUCACAAUGGCAUGCUAUGUCUGCUCUUCAGGAAAGCCUUUCCUGACUGCCCCCAUCAGAGUUAAUUACUACUUACUCUGUGUUCGCAUGGCCUUCUUCCAUCUUCUAUUAUAGCAUUCAUCUCAGGCCACCUUGCCUUACAAUUACUUGUAUCUCUUUUUCCCACUAGAUUAUGACCUCCUUGAGGACAGGGUGAUUUUCUUGUUGCUCUUUGUAUUAUCCUCAGCAUCUAGGUGAAUCUCUGAUACAUCACAAGGGUUCAAUAAAUGCUCAUUGAAUUGAAUUAACUGGAUCUGCAUUCCAAGGUCAUCUCUUCCUAGACUGGUGUUGAAUGGGAUUCCCAUGAAGUGAGGCAGCAGAGUGCGUGCUUGCUGGUUCUGUUGCUUUGUCUCCUGCCCUGUGGCUGCGUCUGUGCCCAAGAGGAUUGUUAGGAUAUAUUGUGCUACAGGAGAUUGAUAUUGUAUAGGAUGUCUGUACAGCUUAUAGACUGGUGCUGACCGUACUGAAAUGAUGGUGGGAGGAUACCUAAUAAGGAUUCUAUUUUAUGCUUAGCUGUAUUCAUUCAUUGGUUUGGUUGGAAUCUGCUUCAGCGUACUUCCUCUACCCAAAUUUGGCUCAUUAGCUGAAAUCACUUUGGGAUGAAUCCACUGUUAAUAGUGGCUAACAUUUUUCAUGCACUUACGACAUGUCUGGCACAGUACUAAGUACUUUACAUAUUUUUCAAUUCUUACACAUUGCUCCCAUUAUCCCAUUUUGAAGAUAAGGAGACUGAAGCACAGAGUGUUUAUUUCCUAAGGUCACACAGCUAGGAAGUAGAGGAGCUAGGAUUUGAAUUCCUAUAGUCUAGCUUCCUACCCCAUUCUUAAGCUAUCUACCCUGUUGCCGCCUGACAAAAGUGUGUUUCAAAAUUUAAUUCCUGAACUGACUGCAUCAAAAUCCCCUGUAGUGUUUGUUAAAAGUGAAGAUACCCCAAGACCUACUGAUUCAGGUUGUUUUCACCGAGGCCAGCAAAUCUGCACCAACAUGUUUUAUUCUGUUCUGUACCUCAAGCUUUGAUGCUGCUUUGUUUUCUUGUUUUGGGAGAAGGGCAGGGGUGGGGGUGGAGGCAAGCGAGUCCAAUACUACAACUUUAGAAAUCUCUGCUCUAGGGUGAACACUCUCUUUGAGACUUCUAAAUUAAAGUCAAGUCUUUUGGAUUUUUGUUUCUUUGUACUGCCUAACUUUAGAAAGACCUGGAAGCGGUAACAUGAAAACAUUUUUAGAGAGAAUUACCAGGCAUUUUUGGUAGAAUGAGUGUUUAAUGGAACAGUCCAGAGAACUCAUCAAAGAUGUUUAUUAAAACGCGCAGACCUGCUCCAAUUAAGGGCCCAGUCAGUGGUGUUAACAGUGAAGGGACUGUUCCAGAGGCGUGCUGCACGGGACGCCCACCCCAAAUACAAAUGGUUUGCCAGUAGCUCACAAAUGAACCCCAUUGCCUUGCACUUAAGCUUCCUGAAGCACAUACAUAUCCUGCUUUGUGCUUUCCGCCCUAUAGUAAACGCAAACCAAUGGAGAUGUGAAGCAAUCUAAUAGCAACAAGGCAAACCUCUACUUCCUCUAAAGAGGAUUGCAUCCUCUUGCUAUCUUUGCCGAUGCUCUCCUACAGACCCAUCCCUGUCAUGUCUUUCCUGUCUUUCUAGUAGAAUUCUGGCUGCUCCCGUAGGACCUCCUUGCGGGAAUUUUCCCUGGUUGCUGCCUCCAAGGAGAGGCUCCCCACCAGAAAGUUUUAAGAGGCUUAUGCUUCUGGGGUUAAUGCGGUCCUUUCUGUCACCUUGUUUUCUGUUCCUAGUUAUCUUUCGGUAACUUUUUUCCUAAACUACUCUGAAAGGCAUAGACUGUCUCUUGAAAGCUCAUCUGUUCUUAACCCCUUUCCCUCAUUCCACUGACUGCAGCAUCUUCCACAUACCAUUCCCUCUUAGCAUUUAUGUCCAUGUCAUGCUUUUGUUGGUUUAUUUGUGUAUUUUCUGCUUCCCACCAUUAGAUCAUUUGUAGAAUUAAUGAAUGCCUAUGGGUUAAUAGAUUUUUCGCUGUAUCCUCUUUUCUCUGUAUCUCUCUGCCCAGUUGCUUAGAAAUGCUUCUGUUUGUGUAUUUGUAUCCACCUUCUUUGGGGAGAGUUAUGACCCUGGUCCUUAUGCCAUCAGUGGUAUUGCAAUUUUGUAUGUAGCAUGACCAUUUUUAAAAAUGACAUUUCAUAGUGAGUGAUUCAGACACCUAUCAUUCAGCUUACCUGCCGGGGCCCUCCAAAAUGAGCAGAAGGCCUCUGUCUCAUUCUAGAAGCUUGAAGGUCUCCACGUGGUUUGCCCAGGGGCCCACAACCUCCCUGCAGUCCAGGAGUGCUCCCAUUAACCCCAGCUGUGUGAUUCAGACCAGAUUCUUAGGACUUUUUAAGUGAAAUGGGACAGAAAAUUGCUUGAUGUAUUUUGCCACAUGAAGUACAUUUUGCUGCCGCUUAGUUCUUUAUUGUCGUUAGAUUAAAAACUCUCCUAACGUUGUGUGGGUAAGUAAAAAUCUUUUUAUUUUUAUCUGGUAUGUUUUGAAAAAAAGGAAAAAAGAAACUAGACAUUGUCAAAAUAUUUGCUUAAUCUUGCAGAUUUGGGAAGUUGUAUAGCCACUCGCUCUGACAGACCAGAACAAUGGUCAUUAAAUGAGAAGCAGAUGUAAUAAAGUAUGCAGUAAAAGCCUUCUAUUAUGGGCUGGAAGGGGAAAAAAAUGAGUUGUUAACAGAACACAGUAAGCAUUAUGGAAUAAAUCAGAACAAAACCAUUCCCAAUUACUGUACAAAGAUAAUUAAAGUCUACAAUGCUAAUUAAGGUCUGUUUAUAUCUAUUUCUGUUUGUGUACAAACAUAUGCGCAUAGUUAAAUAUUUUCCAUUGUUUUUUAUGUGAUGCUAACUUCAUAGUUGAAUUUUUCUGAAUUUAACUUUUGUUUUUAUGUUACCAGGAAGUACAAUCUCCAGAAAACUGAAACUCCAGCUUUUCCUCCUUGAUCGUAGCUUAUUUUUCUUGGCUAACUUCAGAAAAUUCUUCAAGCUGCCACUGCUAGUUCCUGCAGUCAUCUCUCCGAUAUCAUGACUCAAGCCCUCCGGUCGUCUUGGCCACGUUCCCCCUGGUUUAUCCAUAUUCCACGUAAACUGUGUUCAUCAUACUGAAAACAGACCCCUGGAGGAAUUCUGAGGUCCAAGGAUUUGGGCAAGGUCAUUACCUCCUUUUUCCUGGACCAUCUUCUUCAAUUAAUGCAACCUAAGACUGCAAUAAGCUCUUUUACAGGUAUAUAAUUUUGUAUCAUUUGGAGCAUAUUCUUAGAAUUGUUUGGUGUUCUUUCCCCCAUGUAUGCAGCUGAUUUUUAAAAACAGAUCUGUGAUCUAUAGCAAGUUGCUCAAUCUCUUUAAGCCCCACAUUUUUGGUGAGUAAAAUAAUAAUAGCACAGACUUCAUGGCAUUGUGGUGGUGAACAGAUGAGCACCUACGCUUCUCAAUACAGCGUCUUCUACAUAAUAACUUCAAUAAAUAUGAACUAGUAUAAUUAUUGUGUUAUUGGAAAAUUAGAAAUUGCAGGUGAGCAAAAGGCCUUUCUUCCAAACAUUUUUUUUUGUGUAUUUCAAUGUAAUUAAUUUUUUUUACUUAAAAAUUUUGAAUUAAUAUCUCAACUUAUAAGAGCAGCUUUGUCAGUAUAUUUUAAAUGAUUCCCACAAUGCUGAUUUAGGCAUUUUACAUUUUGAUAUGCAUUUUUAGCUGGUUUUCAAAGUCACAAGGCUCUAAGGAAAAGAACUAAUCCUUAGUUGGCAGGAAAGUCCCUCCCCAAAUCCUUGGAUUAAAAUAGAAUCUGCCGCCAGGGCUUUCCUUGUCUUCUGUGAUUGAGAUCUGUCUCAGGUGGGAAGGCAUCCGGUACCUGUGCAUGGCAAGUUCAUUCUUUAGAGAUAGAAUGUGCAACUUUAAUAUUUAUUGAUAGGCACACUAAUUCUCUUGCUGAUGGUAAUUAAUGAGGUGCUUAUAUCUUAUUUUGCGGUAGUUUAACGAGCUUCGGGCUAUAGGAGAGAUCCGGUGCUUGCUGUAAAUGCUGAGAAUCAAAGAUGCUGGAGGAAAAUGCAGAAAAUGGAGCAGAAAAAAUAAGGUUUUAGCAGAUAAAAUAUCUCAGAUUAAAAACACUCUCAAAACAAACCUUGGUAAGGCAGAAGCAUUUAAAAAUCAGGGAGAGCUUGCCAGGGAGGAAAGUCGCAGGUUCCCUAUUCCUUGUUCCCUAAGCAUGCUGUUAAUUUUGACCACCCAUUUGUCUUUCUACCCCUUUGGCUUCGUCUGUGUUAGCAGUGUGAAGUGAAAAAUUGAUAGGAAAAUGUAUUUUUUUUCUUAAGGCUUAGAUAGUUACAGCCAAAACAUUUUGUCAUAUUGGGUUUUGAAUAAUUGUGUCAAAUCUACACUUAAUUUUGCCUUAGACAGCUAGCCUUAUGACCCUAGUUAACCUGUAUUUUCUCUUAUUCUUUCAUCCUUUGGAAAUGAGGUUCACAGAAUACAAAUUCAGAAGAGCAUAAAUUCUAACUCCUUAGAAGACAGGAAUAGAAGUCAAAGUGACCUCAAUAAAUCAAAAGCAAGUUGAAGUUCAAUAGGGACAAAUGUAAGGUAGGAUACUUAUGCCUAAUAGACGGACUCACAAUUUUAAAAUCAUCUGGGCAUGAUUGUGAUGGAAAAGUGUCUCUCUGUCAAGGACAUGAGGAAGCCACAUCCGCAGCCUUGUCUAAGGACCUACUAUGUGCCAGGCAUUUUGCAUAAGUCAGCUUGCUUACAAAUACACUGUAAUAAUCUCAACAGUAACUCUCAAAGCUGUGUAUAAUUUGUGCUCUCAUUUUAUAGAUGUGGAAGCUGAGGCCGAGAGAGGGUAAAUAAUUUGCUCAAAUGUUCACAGUUAGUGAUUUAACUGGUUUUGGAUCCUGCUGUAUCUACUUGACCAAGAGUACUUCAUUACAGAGCUGUUAUUUAAAAAGCCAACCCGGCCGGGUGCGGUGGCUCACGCCUGUGAUCCCAGCACUUUGGGAGGCCGAGGCGGGCAGAUCACAAUGUCAGGAGAUCGAGACCAUCCUGGCUAAUAUGAUGAAGCCCUGUCUCUACUAAAAAUACAAAAAAUUAGCCUGGCGUGGUGGCGGGCGCCUGUAGACGCAGCUACUCGGGAGGCUGAGGCAGGAUAAUGGCGUGAACCCGGGAGGCAGAGCUUGCAGUGAGCCGAAAUUGCGCCACUGCACUCCAGCCUGGGCAACCGAGCGAGACACCCUCCAAAAAAAAAAAAAAAAAAAAAAAGCCAACCCAGUUCUUGGCUAUAGUAACUGAGACUUUACUUGAGAACCAGAUAAUAACCUUUCCAGUAUACUAUACAUUAAUUAAAAUUUAAAAGAAAAAUGAAUAGGAGAAACUGGAGCAAGUCCAAAAAUACCCCACCCAACAACAAAGGCAACAAGAGAAAUUUUUUAAAUUGGCCUAAUAGGUAACAGGCUCAAGGUGUUUGGGAUUGCUUAGCUAGGAAGAAUGCAGCUACAGGGUGAGCGACACACUAAUCCUGUAGACAUCUAAAAGGCAAUAAUAAAGAUUCACAUUUUACAUCAGUAUUUGCAGGUAACAAAGCACUUCCCUGUCAGUUGUCUUACUGGUUUCUCACAGCAGUCAUCCGGAGCAGAAGUCAGCAAACUUUUCUGUAAAGGGCUAGAUAGUUAAAUAUGUUUGGCUUUAUGGGCCAUGCGGUCUCUGUCACAACUCCGCAACAAAAGCAGCCAGAGGCAGUUCAUAAACAAAUGGGCAUGACUGUGAUCCAAUAAAACUCUAUUUACAAGAAGAUGUGACGAGCUGGAUUUGGUUCUCAAGCUGUGGUUAUGUGAAUACAUAUUAUCGUUUCCAUUAUUCAGAUGAGAAAAUUGAGGCUCAGAAAAGUAAAGUGACUUAUCCUAUGCAACUGAAUGAAUAAACAAUGUGUCUGGAACGAGAAUUCACUUUCUGUGGUUAUAGUUUGGUGCUCCAUGAAGUAAAUUGAAGACAUGUACCCAGAAAGAUUUCAGGGAAGUUUGUCAUCCCAAGAUACCAUUUGCCUGUGAUUGUAAUUAAAAUUGGGAGCAGAUGAAUCAAGAAGUUAGAUGAGGCUGGGAGCGCGGUGGCUCACACCUAUAAUCCCAGCAUUUUGGGAGGCCAAGGCAGGCGGAUCACUUGAGCUGAGGAGUUCA
rnacentral:lncRNA from 1 species